GUAGAAAUGAUACAUACAAAAAAUUGAGAAACUAGGAAUUGCUUCCCGCCACGAAAAAUGGCGCCGAUUCCCAUGGAGCAGUGCGGGCCUUUAUCAAUGGAUACAUUAGCAACAUACCCGAUGCAAAACGACGGGAAAUUGAGCGUACACUACUAACGUGGUGAACGCUCAAAACCCUAUGAAUAAACGCGUUGCGGUGCACGCGACAGCUAACUCUCGAAUGUUCACACGGCGUUCUUCCUUAGCACGGCAGUAUAUGGCAUAGAUUAAUUAGGUAUUCCGAAUAUUCGACUACAUUUUGCAACUUUGCUUCGCAUUGUGCUCUUCUUACCACUUUUUAUGUUCUUGAUAGAGAUACGCCAUUAAUUCGGCCGCGGGUACGGCUUCAGAACUUCUUUUGCAACGUUGUCGUGCCACAAUAAUUUUGUUUAAGUUUUCCGGAAAUCGAGGGAAAAUUGCAAUCUUUAGGGAAAAUCUGACAUCUGAGAACCUAAUGCUGAUUGCGAUGGGCGUGGCACGGUUAAGCCAACUAAUGUGGUAGCUUGGAGAAUUCGCUCAGUUUUCCAGCGACUUUUGAGAAGUGAUUUUCCGAGGUGCUGAUGGUUUCAACAAUAACAAUAAUCGGCUAGUCGACCGUGUUACAGUGACAGGAGGCAGACUGCAGAACAAAAUUUUGCUUUCACAUAAGUGCUCGUGUGGCCUUAAUGGAAACUAAAAUGAAGAGCGUGUUGAGCUUUAUGGUACUGUGCUUGCUCUCUCAAGUGCAAGCAGCGCAAGAAGAAGCAAGAAGCAUUAAACCUGGUAGAUAUCCAAGGAUGGAACGAGCUUGCUACAGGAAAAUGCCCACUCCUGAGCUAAAUGAGUGCCUCCGCUCUAAUUUUCAAGGCCUCGUGCCCCGUAUGAGAUCUGGUAUCCCAGGUAUUUACACGAGUAGUGUUGACCCGCUUUAUUGGCCCAAAUUCGCCCACUACUUUGGUGGGGCUUUGAUUCAAGGAAGUUUGUCCGUCCACGAUUUGAGCGUCUGGGGUUUCUCCAAUACCAAAAUUCAAGCAGUCAGAGCGAACGUGAAGAACCCACAAAAGAUGUUGGUGGAGGUUGACUGGCUCGUUCCCAAGAUGGACUUUUUCGGACAUUUCAAAUUAAAUGCCAGAAUGGGCACGGACUUUCAUGGACACGGGCCUUUCUGGUUAAAUUUAACCGAUGUAGGUGGAACUUGGACCGUGACCGGGGCCAGAGAGAAGGGAGAACCUACAAUGGAGAUAGUGAGUUUCAGGGGCGCUCCAAAAUAGGAGGUUUCAAGCUACGGGCCAAAGGUGCUGCUUUUGGCAACGACGCAUUGAAUGACCUUGUCAUUGCGACAAUCAACGGAGCAUGGAGGCUUUUCCACCAAAUUGCGAACCCAGCAGUUGACAGAGAAUGGGUGAAUGGUGCCGAGAUAAACUCAACCGUGUUUUCCUCUCAAAUCCGUACGAUGAGCUUUUCCCGGAGAAGCCAAUUCGCUAGACUACGUAUUUUCCCUACUUUUUCUUGCAUUUUCAGCUGCAUUAAAUGCGCUGAAUAUCCCGAAUAUUCAUUCAUAUAGAGAUAAAAAAAUUAAAUCGGUAACUCUUGUUAUAGUAUUUUAUAUUGGUCGAUUGAAGCCCAAGCAGAAGCAACAAAUGAAAAAAAAAAAAAAAAAACCUUGCAAACGCUAAGUUUCCACGUCCACAGUUGACGAAGGUAUCGUCGCCCGAUAAGACCACACAGUGAUUACGUCAUCCACUAAAGUUUUGCAUUCUGUGGUUUCUUCAACCUUGGUCUCAUUAGUUCGUCGCCAGGCUGUCAAAAGGGCGUAACUAAACAUCGAGAUGAGCCGUGAAAAGCAUUGAAUCUUAUGGCUAACAGGGCUCAUUGGUGAAAGCAGCUGUUAAUAUUUCAAGGAACCAAACCAAACCCCUGCAAAUUUUAGCAGUAAAGAGCGAGUUCGUUACUCAUCACCUAAAUGCCAUCAAUAUGCUGAUUCUAACUGUCGUGAGGACAUCUACUUUAUUAUAUCCGCUUUACAAUAAGUUAUGAUUGAAUUUCCUCUCUUGUUGUAGCAUUUUGAUCCACCUAUCUAUCAGCUUAAAUAAUCGUAUUAUUAUAUUAUUCAGUAUAACAUAUUAUUUCAAUGAAUUAAUAGUCAUGUUAUUAUCAAUUUUAUACUCCAAUACUCUCAUGCUGCUCAACGAUGUUUGAUGAUAUUUUUUUUAAAAAAAUUAGAAUAAAUAUAUAUAGCUUUUGCUCGUCUCCUAAGAGUAGGGCUGAAAAUUUUCAUUUUUGUCCAAAACAUAGUUUUUGAAGCAAAAGAGGCAAUGAUCAAACAUUUUUAUCGAGCCAUCAGGGUUUCAGGGUCAGGGGCUGAAGUUAAAAAAUCUCCAAAAUAUGAAUAAUGAUUUUUUUUAGGAAUAAUCUUUUAACAAGGCGAAUGGUCCAGACGGUGAUAGGGGGAAAGUUUCCCAUUUUUAAAACUCCUUAAUGCACGAGAUGUAAAAGAGGAUACGUCCCUUACUAUAAUUUCCACUCUUCAGAGUCCAAUGUAGAAUUCGUCUACUAUAGAUAAUUCUUAGUUUAGGAAGUUGUUUAUACUGUGAAUAAGUGACUUUUAUAAGGAGUGCAAUUAUAAGAGGCACGAUAAAAUUAAACGUCCAAAAUUUUAUUUUCACUGUACCAUUUCUGCUCAUCCCCCCUCUACAUAAUUUUUUCGUAGCUGAUUUUGAGAGGCUAUUUGCGUGAUUCAUCAGUACCUUUAAAUCUCUGUGUCAUGCAUUUGUAACUAUUUCUUUUGAGUUCCCUCCACUUUAAUUUGUGAUGUAAAAAAAUUAAUCGUUCCCUCGUCCAUUCCUGUACAUAGAAUUUUUGAAAACCCUAGUUUCAAUUAAUCGCUUCCAUUAGAAUACUGCAUGACCAGAAGUUUUAACAUUCCCAGACAAAAUCAACUACGAAACGUUCUGCUUCAAGAGCACUUGUCUUACAAGACAAAUUGUGUGAUGGGCAUCUUGAGGCGAACAAUAAUGGACAAUUGUUAUUAGACAUCUGUCAUGAAUGAAAAUUGUUAACAAUUUUCAGUCUUAAAAUUUUGAUAUACUUAAUUAUAUAUCGGUAAUAGGAAGAUAUAAAUUUUAAACAUAAUUUAUUUUUCUUUGUUCUGUAAUUAGAAUAAUUUAAAUACGAGCCAAGUCGUAAAAUUGUAAGUGCGAGCAUUUUAUUUUGAAGCAAAAGGGUCCAAUAUUUUAAGUACCUAUUUUUAGGAAUUUCUUAUGUACUGCAAUUAAUUUUAAAAAAGUUAAUAAAAUAAAAAUCCUGGUCACAUCGAUAUAGUACUGUGCGAUGAAUAAUUUUCGCACUGCAACUUAAUACCUAUC
rnacentral:lncRNA from 1 species